rnacentral:rRNA from 1 species
UACGUAGGGUGCGAGCGUUAAUCGGAAUUACUGGGCGUAAAGCGUGCGCAGGCGGUUUUGUAAGCCAGAUGUGAAAUCCCCGGGCUUAACCUGGGAAUGGCAUUUGGGACUGCAAGGCUUGAGUGCGGCAGAGGAGACUGGAAUUCCUGGUGUAGCGGUGAAAUGCGCAGAUAUCAGGAGGAACACCAAUGGCGAAGGCAGCACUCUGGGACGUGACUGACGCUGAGACGCGAAAGCGUGGGGAGCAAACAGG